UCAGUCAGCCAGAUGGUCGCUGUAUGUCUGUUAUGGGCAUAGAGAGGAAAGUCCGAGCUCCAAAAGAACAGGGUGCCAGUUAACGGCUGGUGGAGGCGACUCUAAGGAAAGUGCAACAGAAAUAGACUUCCAAAUUUUUGGUAAAGGUGGAAAGGUAGGGCAAGAGCCUACCGGACGGUUGGUAACAAUCGUUGCUCUGUAAACCCCACUCGGUGCAAGGUUAAGUUUGAACAUUAGUGUGUUCUUUCACGUUCAACAAAAAUACCGCUAGAACUUGUUGGCGACAGCAAGUCUGGAUAGAUGACCAUUUAAUACAAAACUCGGCUUAUAGACUGGCUGACAAA
rnacentral:RNase_P_RNA from 1 species